AUGGUAUAGGUUGUUACCAGAGAUGUAGCCCGUUUUGUAACACUCCAAAGUGUGAUUUUAUAAGCGGUGCGUGCGUAGACGGGUGCAAAACUGACUGGGAAGGAAUGCAGUGCCUAGAAUUACAUGAUGAGAAUCGUCUGCCUGAAGACUUAUCCACGUACCUAUACGUCAUUGAUGGAAUGAUAAUUGCUGUAGUAAUUAACAGCAUGGUUUUAGUCGUUUACAUCAUAUUUCUGAGGAGAAAAAGGGUGCAAAAAAUGAAAAAUAAAGAACAUGGUCUCAAUGACGUUGCAUUCACAAUAGAUCAAAACAGAUGCAUAUCAGUUAUAACUCACAAGGGAAAUCAAUAUCAAGAACUAUAGAAAGUUGAUUCUCAAACCGAUAUGUGAGAAUUUUCUUGGCUUAAAUCGGACGGAAAAGAAGAGGAAUCACUUUUUGCGCUGAAAACAAGACAUAUUUUACCUAUGUAUCUUUCACUUAUUUUGAAUAAGAUGUUAAGUAUCAAUGAUUAAUUCUCGUCAUCAAAAAAAAAACUACAAAUAUUAUACAACAUAACACAAAAUAUAUUGCGGGAUCUUUCAAAAAGAAAAUCCUGCUUAGCUUCUUUUUUUUAUCAUUAAAUAUCAUAGUUAUUCAUUUUUGACUUUGUGUAAUUUAUUAGAUAUGUUCUAUUAACAAUUAUUCAAAACAUUAAAAAAAAGAAAAGUACUUUGUAAAAUACAGAGAAAUAUAUUCAUGUACUUUAGUACGCUUGUUCUAUGGACUAAAGUUCCCAUCAUUUCACCUAGGAAAGAUGGAAUUGUUUAA